GAUGAACGCUGGCGGCGUGCUUAACACAUGCAAGUCGAACGAAGCAUUUGCGACAGAUUUUUUCGGAAUGAAGUUGCUUAUGACUGAGUGGCGGACGGGUGAGUAACGCGUGGGUAACCUGCCUUGUACUGGGGGAUAGCAGCUGGAAACGGCUGGUAAUACCGCAUAAGCGCACAAUGUUGCAUGACAUGGUGUGAAAAACUCCGGUGGUAUAAGAUGGACCCGCGUCUGAUUAGCUAGUUGGUGAGAUAACAGCCCACCAAGGCGACGAUCAGUAGCCGACCUGAGGGGGUGACCGGCCACAUUGGGACUGAGACACGGCCCAGACUCCUACGGGAGGCAGCAGUGGGGAAUAUUGCACAAUGGAGGAAACUCUGAUGCAGCGACGCCGCGUGAGUGAAGAAGUAAUUCGUUAUGUAAAGCUCUAUCAGCAGGGAAGAUAGUGACGGUACCUGACUAAGAAGCUCCGGCUAAAUACGUG
rnacentral:rRNA from 1 species